CAAAUACUCCUUCCGUCCGGAAAUACUUGUCAUAAGAAUGGAUGUAUCUAGAUGUAUUUUAGUUCUAGAUACAUACUUUUUUAUCCAUUUGUGCGACAAGUAAUUCUGGACGGAGGGAGUACUUC
rnacentral:pre_miRNA from 1 species